ACAAUCCUGCAUUGACCCAUUUCAUAAAUAAAUGGGCUGAAGUUGCCACCUCUACCAUUAACCUGGCAAACAUGGGUGGUUGUCUGAUUUUAUUAAUAUGAAAUCUGGUAGUCUGGAUGCUUGAUUGACUUUCUUUCAUGGUGUAACUUGCACCUCUAAAAUUAACCUGGCAAGCACAGGCUGUUGUUAAUAUGAAGUCCGGUAGUCUGAAUGCUUAAUUGGCUUCUCUUCAUCGUGCAACUUGCAGCAUAUUGAUGAUCUUGAUAUUCCUGUUGGGAUUGUCUGGACAAACACUUAAUUAUCUUCCCUUUCUUAUGCAACAUAUCUUUGAUAGUUAACAUUUAUAAACAUCAUAUUUCAGAUAUGAUUGUUUUGGUUGUAAAGCAAUGCAUUUUUGUAGUAGUAUUUACUAGUAAAAGAAAAAACUAACAUCUAAAAGCUGUUAAGGACAAUAUUAUCUUGCUUGAAUUGAGAAAGAGAUUAUACAUGUUUCAUUGUUUCUGUUGUAAUAUUCUGUGAAGAAGCUUUGGAAAAGGAAAUGAAAAUAGAAGACUGAAUUGAAGAUGUAAUUAGCACAAAGCUUCCAUAAAAAUGGCCUGUCCAGAGAUUGACUUGAGAUUCUAUUCGACAAACCAUGUAGCUGGACAGAUAUAUGACUAGUUGUUUCAGAGCGUCAUACGGGAACUUUUGAUAUUGCUUGUUUGGUUAGUUUUCAGUUUCUCUAUGUAAUUCCGUAUUCAAAAGUGUGCUUAUUACAUAAACUUCUUGUAUAUUCAAGUGUAUCUUAGAAGAACCAUCCAAACUUUCCCCUUCAGUAAAGCAAAGGAGCCACACAUUCUUAUUCUGCUAUAUUUGAUUUAUGUAGUCGUCGAAAGAAAGGAAAAUGGAAGCAAAAGAUAAUGUAGUACUUUUUUGGAAGUUUGAUAACUUCAUAUAUGCUUUUCAUCUAGAAUACAUAUAUCCUUGAAACAGAGUUCUGCAGACCGGUUUCCCAAUUGAUUAGAAAUGUUCCCAUGGAUAAAUUAUGUCCAGUUGUAUUGAUAAAUUUCCAAUUAGGUAAUACUUUGCAGGAAACCUCAGUUUUGGAACUGGAGUAAUGCUCCAUGACUUCAGAAGACGACGACAACCGGAAUUAGUGGGAAUGACGAGGCAGGGAUACAUGAGAAACGGGCCAAGCAAUCAUCAGUUUUUUUUUUGUCUAUUACAAGCUUUGCAAGUUCUCCUACCAUGGAUGAGGAGAGCGAGAUAAAGCAAACAAUUUAACAUAGUAUAAGUCAUCAUGAAAUGAAAACGGGGACCCCUCUCAUCCAGACACGGCUGCAUCCAAGUAGUACCAGGAGCGUCGAGGUUAACAAUGGAAUUCUCCAAGGUACAUAGCAACAAUAAUUUUUGCCUUUCACCUCCAGGAAAAGUGUCCCGGACGUCAAGUCUCAUGUUACAUAUAGGAUGGUUUUUUGUCAUUUUAGGCCAUGGAGUAGGGUCCCCAAAAGGUAUAACCUAUAUAAAGAUAACUACACAGCAAUUUGAAACUGUAUCUGUAUCAGACUAUCAGACAGAUGUGGCUAAUAUACGCUAACCAGAAUACAGUUUGGCACUGGACUACUUGCUUCUUGAGGUUUUGUAACUUUUCUAAUAUGCAAACGCUUUAAUCAAUAUUUAAUAAAUUUGACGUCUCUUGAAGUUUUGUAAAUAUUCUGAUCUGCCAACGCUUUAAUCAAUAUUUACUAACUACAUAUACUCUCUGCGCUUCAUAAUAAUCGCCCACCUAUACUAUUAUUUAGGGACAGUCGAAGUAUGUUUCUUAUCCAGGAUUUAGUUCCUUGAAGUUAUACUUUCUUCUGAUGUACGCAGGAACUCUUGAUGCCCUGCAGCACUGAGGUAGAUUUAUGGAAGUAAAUAGGAGAUAUUCAGCGGUAAGUUUCAUACUUGGCCUGAAGAGUUUACUCGCUACUAGGUUUUUAGCAGCAUCCCUGAAUGUUAUAUUUUUAAGCCUGUUUUCUUUUGUUGGGUUUCUCCUUGUUUUGAAGUUUGAAAACGGCAUGUUAACUCUCUCCCAUAGUUAAUCGAAGUUUACUACAGUUAAGCACUUGACAUUUUUAUUGUUAUCGUGAAGAACCAAAUGAACCAUUAAAUGGGCCCAAGUUCUCUAAUCCCUUGUGAAGCGGUUUGCAGGUCACCAUGGGUUUUCCAGACGGUGAGGAUUGAGAAUUAUGAUAUUGUUGCAUUUCUAAGCGAAGACAUAUGUAGAUGCUUAGUCGAGUCUUAUAGUACCGAUAAACUAGGGUAUACCAUUGUAGGUGAUCUGAUCUUCCAGUGACAGAUCACGCUUAACACAAGAUUUGAGGGGCUUUUUUGGAGCUUAAAGCUUCUGUCAAAUAAAUAAUCGGACAUCAGAAAUAGGUUGUUAGAAAAAGGCCCUAACCCCUAGAAUUUGCCCAAACUUUUUACUCAAGUCCCAAGCUCUAGCCCAUAGCUUCACCUUUUAUUCCAGCAAUCCUUAAUGCAUAAUCAUAUCAAAGACGUCACGAAUGUAUUUUUUUUCUUCCAUGCUUUAAUAGUUAUAAUAGCUUGUUGGUGCUUAUGCUUCUGGAUUUUUGUUUUUGUUUCUGAUUGCCAUAUGCCUUACUUUCUACACCCAGGUUUCAAAUGCUUAGAAUUAUUAUUAUGGAAACAGUCUCUCUACCUCUAGGUAAAGACAAAAUUGUCUACAUCUCAUUUAUACCUCGCUCAUAGGGAUUGAGACAUAUUGUUGUACUUUCCUCAAUUCCUCGUGGAUAGUAUUUUUGCAUUGCAAAUAUGUAUGCCUCUAAUCUAUUCAUUGAAUAGAAUAAUGGUAAAACAAUUUAGUGGCU